rnacentral:rRNA from 1 species
GAUGAACGCUAGCGAUAGGCUUAACACAUGCAAGUCGAGGGGCAGCACAAGGUAGCUUGCUAUCUGGGUGGCGACCGGCGCACGGGUGCGUAACGCGUAUGCAACUUGCCCUAUACAGGAGGAUAACCCGUCGAGAGACGGACUAAUACUGCGUAUGCUCACAACUUGGCAUCAAGUGGUGAGGAAAGAAAUUCGGUAUAGGAUAGGCAUGCGUCCCAUUAGCUUGUUGGUGAGGUAACGGCUCACCAAGGCAACGAUGGGUAGGGGAACUGAGAGGUUUAUCCCCCACACUGGUACUGAGACACGGACCAGACUCCUACGGGAGGCAGCAGUGAGGAAUAUUGGUCAAUGGGCGCGAGCCUGAACCAGCCAAGUCGCGUGAAGGAUGACUGUCUUAUGGAUUGUAAACUUCUUUUAUACGGGAAUAACAAGAGUCACGUGUGACUCCCUGCAUGUACCGUAUGAAUAAGCAUCGGCUAACUCCGUG